rnacentral:rRNA from 1 species
UUAUCGGAGAGUUUGAUCCUGGCUCAGGACGAACGCUGGCGGCGUGCCUAAUACAUGCAAGUCGAGCGGACAGAUGGGAGCUUGCUCCCUGAUGUUAGCGGCGGACGGGUGAGUAACACGUGGGUAACCUGCCUGUAAGACUGGGAUAACUCCGGGAAACCGGGGCUAAUACCGGAUGGUUGUUUGAACCGCAUGGUUCAAACAUAAAAGGUGGCUUCGGCUACCACUUACAGAUGGACCCGCGGCGCAUUAGCUAGUUGGUGAGGUAACGGCUCACCAAGGCAACGAUGCGUAGCCGACCUGAGAGGGUGAUCGACCACACUGGGACUGAGACACGACCAGACUCCUACGGGAGGCAGCAGUAGGGAAUCUUCCGCAAUGGACGAAAGUCUGACGGAGCAACGCCGCGUGAGUGAUGAAGGUUUUCGGAUCGUAAAGCUCUGUUGUUAGGGAAGAACAAGUACCGUUCGAAUAGGGCGGUACCUUGACGGUACCUAACCAGAAAGCCACGGCUAACUACGUGCCAGCAGCCGCGGUAAUACGUAGGUGGCAAGCGUUGUCCGGAAUUAUUGGGCGUAAAGGGCUCGCAGGCGGUUUCUUAAGUCUGAUGUGAAAGCCCCCGGCUCAACCGGGGAGGGUCAUUGGAAACUGGGGAACUUGAGUGCAGAAGAGGAGAGUGGAAUUCCACGUGUAGCGGUGAAAUGCGUAGAGAUGUGGAGGAACACCAGUGGCGAAGGCGACUCUCUGGUCUGUAACUGACGCUGAGGAGCGAAAGCGUGGGGAGCGAACAGGAUUAGAUACCCUGGUAGUCCACGCCGUAAACGAUGAGUGCUAAGUGUUAGGGGGUUUCCGCCCCUUAGUGCUGCAGCUAACGCAUUAAGCACUCCGCCUGGGGAGUACGGUCGCAAGACUGAAACUCAAAGGAAUUGACGGGGGCCCGCACAAGCGGUGGAGCAUGUGGUUUAAUUCGAAGCAACGCGAAGAACCUUACCAGGUCUUGACAUCCUCUGACAAUCCUAGAGAUAGGACGUCCCCUUCCGGGGGCAGAGUGACAGGUGGUGCAUGGUUGUCGUCAGCUCGUGUCGUGAGAUGUUGGGUUAAGUCCCGCAACGAGCGCAACCCUUGAUUUUAGUUGCCAGCAUUCAGUUGGGCACUCUAAGGUGACUGCCGGUGACAAACCGGAGGAAGGUGGGGAUGACGUCAAAUCAUCAUGCCCCUUAUGACCUGGGCUACACACGUGCUACAAUGGACAGAACAAAGGGCAGCGAAACCGCGAGGUUAAGCCAAUCCCACAAAUCUGUUCUCAGUUCGGAUCGCAGUCUGCAACUCGACUGCGUGAAGCUGGAAUCGCUAGUAAUCGCGGAUCAGCAUGCCGCGGUGAAUACGUUCCCGGCCUUGUACACACCGCCCGUCACACCACGAGAGUUUGUAACACCCGAAGUCGGUGAGGUAACCUUUUAGGAGCCAGCCGCCGAAGGUGGGACAGAUGAUUGGGGUGAAGUCGUAACAAGGUAGCCGUAUCGGAAGGUGCGGCUGGAUCACCUCCUUU